GAUGAUGGGAAUUGUAGUCCCAAAACAGCUGGAGGGCCAAGUUUGGCCAUCACUGCCCUAUGGUGUCCCCGGCGCUUCCCUCUUCCCCGCUCCUGCUGGGCCAGGUGGAGUCUGGCUCUCCGAACCCCGCCGUUACCCGGGCGGCUCUGGUGUUUCCUCGUCGUCUCGGAGGAAGAUUUUGAGGUUCAUGGGAACUUCAGGGGAAAGAAGCAGUAACUUUGCGUGAGAGGAAGUCUGUUCUGGAUACAACUCUUAAGCUCCGUGUUCGUGCAUGUGCAUUAACCCAGAAACAAGGAGGCUGUCUGUCGGUCUAGAUAACGGCACAAUCUCAGCUUUCCAGACUCAGAAAAGUGUUUUCCUGACUGGGGAGAAAGAAUAGAAUUUUCCCUCUCCCAGAGACCUCCCCCUUGCCCACCCCCUCACCCUCGGCAUCCCCCUCUGGACCCCUUUUUGAGAGGACACAAAAGGUUCUGCACACCUCCUCCCUUCCUCAUGUGGAGAAAGAUGGCGGAAGAGCUCCUUCAUUGGAGGAGCUCAAGAAAGCCCCAAGACAACAUGAAGGUAUUUCCAAGAAUAUUUUCACUGUAUAUAAGAAAGUCUCUCUAACUGCCAGCCUUCUCUUCUUUUCCUUUCAGAAGAGCUCAUCGUUGAAGAUCUAGAGGAAGGGUCAGCAACGUUUUUCAUCCCUCAGACCAUGUGGUCUCUGUCUGAGGCCUAUUUUGAGGUUUAGAUAAAUAAUCUUAUCGCAUGUGGCCCUUUGUUUCCCUGUAGAGCUGCCCCUCUGAUGGAGAACAAAAGGAAACAUGAAGGUAAUGCUUAUUUCCAUGUCCAUGUUCAGAAACUUCCUGCUGUGGUCCAACAGCUUGAGAAGAAAAUAAGAGCUCCACCACGGAAUGAACCUCGCCAUAUCCCCAGUGAGCGUAUCUCUUUCUUUGGGCACAAGGGAGAACAGUGGCCCAACUGCAGCAUGCUCUGAGAUACAGCACUCAUGGUAAGGCAACCUUCUGAGAAACAGCUUUUCGGUGAGCAGUGCAUGCUGUUGUGAACUUCACCUUACAGCUGUCCAAGAAAUCCUGUCCUGGGGAAAAGCAUAUAAAAACAAAACAAAUCAUACUUACUUGUGAGUAUGCUUCACAAGGAUGCUCUUUCCAUGCUCUUUACUUCAAUGGGCUUUACAUGUGCAUGCUACACCUUGAAAGUACAUUAAUAUUUCCCUCAAAGGAUUCUGGGCACUGUAGUUUACUCCUCACAUAGUUGCCAUUCCCAGCAACCCUUAACAAGAUUCUGUAAAUGCACAUGGAGCCAUGUAUUGGUGUGUACACUUUGGCUCUUUGUUGAAAUCAGUUAGUCACAGCUAAGUCUCAUUGAUAUAUGUAAGUGUGGCUAAUUUACAGCAUAAUCCCAUACAUGUCUACUCAGAAGCAAGUCCUGUUAACUUCAAUGGGGGUUGCUCCCAAAUAAAGUGGGUACAGGAUUGCAGAUCCUGCCCCCCAACAUAAAUCCUGGCUCUCCCCAUGAGCAGGAGGUCCGAAGGGUGCAUUAGAUAUUUAGGAGGAACACUACAUCAUUUCAAACUAUUAUUCAUUCCCUGAAAUAAGUCUUCUAACUUUAGUUAGCCUAACUGGACUGCAGCUCAGAUAAAUGAAUGGUUUCCCACAAGCACUGGAGGUAAAGUGACAAUGCAGAACUUUAGCCCCAGGACUUUGAGAUGUAAACUUUACUAAACAGACUGCAGGACACCUUCUUUCUGGAACCCAGGUUGAUAAGAAGCACAUGGGGAGACAUUGCAAGAAAAGGGAAGAGCUGCUAUUACGGUAGGAACAUGAGAAGCUGCCUUUACUGAGUCAGACCAUUGGUCCAUUUAGCUCAGUAUUGUCUGCACUGGUCGGCAGCCCCUUUCCAUGGUUCUAGGCAGGAUUCUCUCCCACCUGGAGAUGUCAGGGGCUGAACCUGGGAGCUUCCGAAUGCAAGCAGAUGCUGUUCUGCUGACCUUUCCUUUUUAUUAUUUGAACUAUUUAUAUAAUCAGGUUCUUGGACCGUUAACAAGGAUAAAAACACACGAAAAAAUUACAUAUAAGGAAUGCUCAAAGUUCGAAAGGGAAUUGCUUAUAUAUAUAUAUAUGUACCCUUUCCCCCAUCACCUUACCAAAUAAAUUGAUUGUAUUUCCCUUUUCACAGCAGGUUAAGAGGAAUGCCCAUACAAAACCAUUUUCUUCCUUUUAUUAUUGCUGUUGUUAAUUAAAUUUUUAUACCACCCUUAAUCUGUAUUUCUCAGGGUGGUUCCUUGAUUAGCAGUUCCUCAUUCUAUUAACCCAAUUAUAUAGUUAUAUAAUUUUUGUCUAGAAGUGAAGGCUGCUAAUGAACAUCUUUCCCAUUCCCACUUUCCAUAUGUGACUGACUUUCAUUAAACAUCUCUACAUCCCCUCCCCACCCUGUUCUAUACAAAUAAUUAAAUUUAAGUUACAUCAGUAUGAGCAUUUAUAAAAUGAAGUUGAAGAAACCAAUAAUUUCUCUUUUUUUUUACAGGUUCAGCCCUGUUUAUAGGAAGACUUACAAAUCCUAUAGAGUAAACUUGUCCUAUCCACGCUUCCAUGUAUCUGCAUUCCCAUAAAAUCAUAAAGCAUUAAUAGGACGCUUUAAGUCUUGUGACUAUCAAGAGGAAGUUAUGUGAAACUUAUGACUGUAAAUAAAAAGAUGCUUUUUGCCAUUUCUGUGGUGGUUCUCUUCUGUUAUAGCAGUUAUAAACUUCUGAAAAAUGCCUUUGGGCUCUUGCAUUCGAAUCCUACUUGUGGGUCUCCCACAGGCAUUUGGUUGGCUGCAUUUGUUCUUGGGAAUGACAAAACUCCUCCUUCCACCUUAGAGAUAUAUGAAAGAGAGAGAGAGAGCUCUAUAUAAGUGCACACUUCCGGUUCUGAUCAGAAACUUCCAAAUGCAAGUUAAGAAUGGUAAGGAAACAUGGGAG